GAUGAACGCUGGCGGCGUGCCUAAUACAUGCAAGUCGAGCGAACAGAUGAGGAGCUUGCUCCUCUGACGUUAGCGGCGGACGGGUGAGUAACACGUGGAUAACCUACCUAUAAGACUGGGAUAACUUCGGGAAACCGGAGCUAAUACCGGAUAAUAUAUUGAACCGCAUGGUUCAAUAGUGAAAGACGGUUUUGCUGUCACUUAUAGAUGGAUCCGCGCCGCAUUAGUUAGUUGGUAAGGUAACGGCUUACCAAGGCAACGAUGCGUAGCCGACGUGAGAGGGUGAUCGGCCACACUGGAACUGAGACACGGUCCAGACUCCUACGGGAGGCAGCAGUAGGGAAUCUUCCGCAAUGGGCGAAAGCCUGACGGAGCAACGCCGCGUGAGUGAUGAAGGUCUUCGGAUCGUAAAACUCUGUUAUUAGGGAAGAACAAAUGUGUAAGUAACUAUGCACGUCUUGACGGUACCUAAUCAGAAAGCCACGGCUAACUACGUG
rnacentral:rRNA from 1 species